rnacentral:tRNA from 1 species
AAAGUUUUAGUUUAAUUAAAACAACUUUUUGUCAAAGAGUAAAUAUAAGGUUAUAAACUUUU